UACGGAGGGGGCUAGCGUUAUUCGGAAUUAUUGGGCGUAAAGGGCGUGUAGGCGGCUUCGUGUGUCCCAUGUGAAAGCCCUCGGCUCAACCGGGGAACUGCAUGGGAAACUGCGGAGCUUGAGUCCGGGAGAGGUGAGUGGAAUUCCCAGUGUAGCGGUGAAAUGCGUAGAUAUUGGGAGGAACACCUGAGGUGAAGACGGGUUGCUAGGCUGACACUGACGCUGAGGCGCGAAAGCUAGGGGAGCAAACGGG
rnacentral:rRNA from 1 species